GUCAGAAUGGCCGAGCGGUCUAAGGCGCCAGACUCAAGGUUGUGCACCUUCUCCAAAACAGAGAGAUUUCUGGUCCUCCCGAAUGAAGGCGUGGGUUCCAAAUCCCACCUUCUGACA
rnacentral:tRNA from 1 species